AUUGAACGCUGGCGGCAUGCCUUACACAUGCAAGUCGAACGGCAGCACGGAGCUUGCUCUGGUGGCGAGUGGCGAACGGGUGAGUAAUAUAUCGGAACGUACCCUAGAGUGGGGGAUAACGUAGCGAAAGUUACGCUAAUACCGCAUACGAUCUAAGGAUGAAAGUGGGGGAUCGCAAGACCUCAUGCUCGUGGAGCGGCCGAUAUCUGAUUAGCUAGUUGGUAGGGUAAAAGCCUACCAAGGCAUCGAUCAGUAGCUGGUCUGAGAGGACGACCAGCCACACUGGAACUGAGACACGGUCCAGACUCCUACGGGAGGCAGCAGUGGGGAAUUUUGGACAAUGGGCGAAAGCCUGAUCCAGCAAUGCCGCGUGAGUGAAGAAGGCCUUCGGGUUGUAAAGCUCUUUUGUCAGGGAAGAAACGGUGAGAGCUAAUAUCUCUUGCUAAUGACGGUACCUGAAGAAUAAGCACCGGCUAACUACGUGCCAGCAGCCGCGGUAAUACGUAGGGUGCAAGCGUUAAUCGGAAUUACUGGGCGUAAAGCGUGCGCAGGCGGUUUUGUAAGUCUGAUGUGAAAUCCCCGGGCUCAACCUGGGAAUUGCAUUGGAGACUGCAAGGCUAGAAUCUGGCAGAGGGGGGUAGAAUUCCACGUGUAGCAGUGAAAUGCGUAGAUAUGUGGAGGAACACCGAUGGCGAAGGCAGCCCCCUGGGUCAAGAUUGACGCUCAUGCACGAAAGCGUGGGGAGCAAACAGGAUUAGAUACCCUGGUAGUCCACGCCCUAAACGAUGUCUACUAGUUGUCGGGUCUUAAUUGACUUGGUAACGCAGCUAACGCGUGAAGUAGACCGCCUGGGGAGUACGGUCGCAAGAUUAAAACUCAAAGGAAUUGACGGGGACCCGCACAAGCGGUGGAUGAUGUGGAUUAAUUUGAUGCAACGCGAAAAACCUUACCUACCCUUGACAUGGCUGGAAUCCUCGAGAGAUUGAGGAGUGCUCGAAAGAGAACCAGUACACAGGUGCUGCAUGGCUGUCGUCAGCUCGUGUCGUGAGAUGUUGGGUUAAGUCCCGCAACGAGCGCAACCCUUGUCAUUAGUUGCUACGAAAGGGCACUCUAAUGAGACUGCCGGUGACAAACCGGAGGAAGGUGGGGAUGACGUCAAGUCCUCAUGGCCCUUAUGGGUAGGGCUUCACACGUCAUACAAUGGUACAUACAGAGCGCCGCCAACCCGCGAGGGGGAGCUAAUCGCAGAAAGUGUAUCGUAGUCCGGAUUGUAGUCUGCAACUCGACUGCAUGAAGUUGGAAUCGCUAGUAAUCGCGGAUCAGCAUGUCGCGGUGAAUACGUUCCCGGGUCU
rnacentral:rRNA from 1 species